AUGUAACAACCAGAUUAUGAAGGAAUUAGUCUAAAAAUACUGAGCACAACUUCAAAAUGACAGUACAAAAUAUAUGACCCAACAAAGCAACACUUGAAUGUUGUUCAAAACUGACAUCAUUUCCCUUAAGGUAAUUGACUCCAAGUAGUUCAUUUGGAAUCUUACUUCAGCACUUUCAGAUUUUGCGUAUAUCAAAUAUACGGUUCUGCUUAUCUGCAAGUUCAAAA
rnacentral:misc_RNA from 1 species